rnacentral:rRNA from 1 species
GACGAACGCUGGCGGCAUGCCUAAUACAUGCAAGUCGAGCGAACAGAUGAAGUGCCUGCACUUCUGACGUUAGCGGCGAACGGGUGAGUAACACGUAAGGAAUCUACCUAUAAGCGGGGGAUAACAUUCGGAAACGGGUGCUAAUACCGCAUAAUAUCUUCUUCCGCAUGGAAGAAGAUUGAAAGACGGCUCUGCUGUCACUUAUAGAUGACCUUGCGGUGCAUUAGUUAGUUGGUGGGGUAACGGCCUACCAAGCCGAUGAUGCAUAGCCGACCGGGGAGGGUGAUCGGCGACAUUGGGACGGAGACACGGCCCAAACUCCGACGGGAGGCAGCAGUAGGGAAUCUUCCGCAAUGGGCGAAAGCCUGACGGAGCAAUGCCGCGUGAGUGAAGAAGGCCUUCGGGUCGUAAAACUCUGUUAUAAGAGAAGAACAAAUUGUAGAGUAACUGCUACAGUCUUGACGGUAUCUUAUCAGAAAGCCACGGCUAACUACGUGCCAGCCGCCGCAGUAA